GGCUGAAGCACUUUAUUCAGUCAAAAUGUUCGAUGGAAUCACAAUAAAAUCUGGUCUAACUGACAACCAAACCGGUCGUCCAAAAACUAAAGUAGUAGUAGCUCUAGCUAACAUAUGUGCUUCAACAUUCAGACUUCGAUUCUCAUGAGUAAUUUGCACCAAUGCAAAACCUGCACACUUCAAAUUGAUCUCCCUGUUGAUGGCUUCAGAUGGUCCUUUGUAUAUUUCCUUGACAUGCUUCACAGUGGAUGCACAGUCUGUUGCAAUGACUAACAUGCCUGGUUAGUUUCUGCAAUAGCUCAUCUCUUAGUUCUGUAAUUUCUUGGAUUUGAUGGCCCUAAAUGUAUGUGUAUUAGGAUUGAAGAUGCAUGAGUCAUCCCUGGAGAAUGGAGAUGAAUGAAGAAGUACUGAGAUAGUGAGAGAUGAAAUUCAAACCUGAUGUCACGAAGUGGUAUACCAAAACAAAGGCUAAUGCUUCGAUUCAGAUUAAUGUAGUUUAGAAGGGAGGAGCUUGGUGGUGGUGGAAUCAGGGAGGAGUACAACUGGUGGUGGCUUUGGACAGUGUCAGUUGUUGUUUUGACGGGUCUGCCUUCAGGUCCUGUACCGGCAAUGUCCUGUGUCAUCAGGAACCCCUCAUCUGCCCAUCGCCAUAGUUGGGUUUGUUUAGCUUUUUGCAUGAUAAUUGUUUUAUUACUUAUACAUGGAGUAUUAGGUUGUGUUUUCUGCAAAGAUGCUGAUAUGAAAGCCUUUUUUUCUGGUACAUGUGGUUCAUUCCGCUUUUCUCUUAAUGAUUAACCGACUAUUGAGGAGUUGCACAUAUCCUUAUAAAACAUAAAUUUUGUAUUACGUUCAUGAUUCAGAUGCUGUUCUACCUUGUUCUAUUAUAUGCAUCGAACAU